UACGGGGGGGGCAAGCGUUGUUCGGAAUUACUGGGCGUAAAGGGCUCGUAGGCGGCCCUCUCAGUCGGAUGUGAAAUCCCCAGGCUUAACCUGGGAAUGGCAUCCGAUACUGGAGGGCUUGAAUUCGGGAGAGGGAUGCAGAAUUCCAGGUGUAGCGGUGAAAUGCGUAGAUAUCUGGAGGAACACCGGUGGCGAAGGCGGCAUCCUGGACCGAUAUUGACGCUGAGGAGCGAAAGCGUGGGGAGCAAACAGA
rnacentral:rRNA from 1 species